rnacentral:rRNA from 1 species
GACGAACGCUGGCGGCGUGCCUAAUACAUGCAAGUCGAGCGCAGGAAACUGACGGAACUCUUCGGAGGGAAGGCAGUGGAAUGAGCGGCGGACGGGUGAGUAACACGUAAGGAACCUGCCUCAAGGAUUGGGAUAACUCCGAGAAAUCGGAGCUAAUACCGGAUAGUUCAACGGACCGCAUGGUCCGCUGAUGAAAGGCGCUCCGGCGUCACCUUGAGCUGGCCUUGCGGUGCAUUAGCUAGUUGGUGGGGUAACGGCUCACCAAGGCGACGAUGCAUAGCCGACCUGAGAGGGUGAUCGGCCACACUGGGACUGAGACACGGCCCAGACUCCUACGGGAGGCAGCAGUAGGGAAUCUUCCACAAUGGACGAAAGUCUGAUGGAGCAACGCCGCGUGAGUGAUGAAGGUUUUCGGAUCGUAAAACUCUGUUGUAAGGGAAGAACACGUACGAGAGGAAAUGCCCGUACCUUGACGGUACCUUACGAGAAAGCCACGGCUAACUACGUGCCAGCCGCCGCCGUAAAAC